AUACGUUAAAUAGUAGAGAGGGGGGUGGAGUAUGUGUGUAAAGAAGCAGAGAACAGUAUUGACCCGCGCCCCGCCUCCUCUUCUAAACAGAAAGUUGUUACAUGGUAACAACGAGGCUGUCGCAAAUGUUGGAUGUUGACAGUGGCAAGCGACUAGUUAGCGGACAACUUCUGUAGAUUCUUGACGUUUUGUGAUGUUGAUUGUUGUUGGUUUAUUCGUCUUCGUAGGGCAAGCUUUUUAGGAUAAACUUUGUGUAGUGUUGAUAAGUAAUAGGUGUCUGGACAUCGAGGGGGCAGACAAGUGGAUACAUUUUGGUCAUAUGAGGUCAUCAACAAGUUGACAGAAUCCAUUUCAAAAGUAAAAGUCCCAGAGUGGGUAAAGAUUUGGUGAGUUUGUGGGCGUGACACUUCAAAGUCUGUGUCUGAACUCCAGGAACAAGAUCACCGAGACACAGAACAAGACUCUAUGACCUAACACGUCAUGUCCGGUAAAAGCACUGGUCCGCUUGGUGAAAAGGGCAUCAAAGAACAGAUUACGAGUCAUCGUAUUUAUGGUCAGCUCAGCCCGGUGAAGACCACAGUUCGAAACACUCUGCCCUCAAUCGAUACCAUUGACACAGAGAGAUUUAUUUUAAACUUUGAGCAACAAAGACGUGCUUCCCCUGAUGACGUCAGCUACCAAGAGUUUUACGCAAGCCUCGCUCUGAAAAUUAAAAGCCAGCAGACGCCAAAUUGUAAAGACACACCAAAACCAAAAUAGAAAUUGUUAAGCUUGCUGUACUCACUCUAUGCUUUGUGUUAAUUAGCCUAACCAUAGAUCUACAAGUAGGUACUAUUUUCAAAACGAAAUGGACAAUUUUUGUUUCCUUGUUUCGGAUCUACAUUUAGAUCUAGACUUAACCGUCUUUAUGCUGAGGCCAGGAAAGAUUACAGAUUACUCUUGUUGUUGCUUAUACUAGUAAAGUUCCACUUUCAGAGCAGAUGAUGUAAAGGUCAUCUGUUUCUGUGGCCCACGGUUAACGAGGGUGUCAUGUGGCCAGCACAACGACCAACCGCCUUUUACUUUCCCCCAACUAAUGUCAGGUACCCAUUAGAGCUGGGUGGACUCAGAAGCACCCUAAGAUCCCGAAAUAAAAAAUCCCAGUCUUCACCAGGUUUCGAACCCCGGUUUACCGCUCAGCCACCGCGCCUCCCACUCUAGUUGCUUGACCAGCACAAAAACUAGAUACUAGUAAAUUUCUCUGAGCAUCUAGAUCUAGAGGUAUAAGACAAUAAAAACAUUUUAACUUUUAAAAAACAAAGCUUACAUUACCUUUCUGAAUGUGAUAUGAUGAUCCUAUCACUUAUCUGGACUAGCUGUGAAAGUGGGGGGGGG